CCACCCAUCACCGAAUGUUGAAAGAAAAAGAAAGAGUUGAAGCUUUGUUAUAUUCGGCCUAGGUUGAGCUUGAUUGAGAUCAAGAAUUAAAGAAAUCAGACUUGGAUCGGGGGAAAAAUAAAGUCGUCGAUUAGUCGAUCUGUUCCGGUUUAUCGCUAUCCGAGAUUUUGAAAGCUAGUUACGGGCUCGGGGAUCGUCAGUGAAGUCAAUCACACUAUCGUCCGUUCAUCAGUAUUUAUAAAAGUUAAAUAUAAAAUCUAUGGCAUGUAUAGGCUAUACUACAUUUUGAAUAUAUAUAUAUAUAUAUAUAUA